rnacentral:rRNA from 1 species
GCUAGAAUUGAGUAGAGGUAGGAGGAAUGUGACAAGUAGCGAAGAAAUGCAUAUUUAUGUCACAGAACACUGAUUGAGAAGGCAGCUUGGUAUGGUUUUAUUGACGAUGAGGCAAGAAAGCGUGAGGAUCAAACAGGAUUUGAUACCCUGGUAGUCCACGCCAUAAAUGAUGAAUACUCGUUGUUGGCGUUACACAGUCAGCGGGUAAGCGAAAGCGUUAAGUUUUCCACCUGGGGAGUACGCCCGCAAGGGUAAACUCAAAGGAAUUGACGGGGGCCCGCACAAGCGGAGGAGCAUGUGGUUUAAUUCGAUGAUACGCGAGGAACCUUACCCGGGCUUGAAAGUUAGUGAAUGUACCAGAGAUGGUACAGUGAGCAAUCACAU